UCACCUCCUGUCAGUUCAUCAUUUCAGUUCGAUCUGCAUUCGCGAAAUCGUGACAAAAGUUCGAACAGCAAGUUUGAAGUGGCACUUUGCUAUAAUACAAUUAGAAUAAAAGUAAUUCAUGCGUGUAUUUACGAACUCCACAAUCAGAAGUGGUAAUAACUGUAAACUUUGUUUGUUUGUUGCUAUUAAAUCAAUAGUAUAGACGAUUUAGGAAGAUGGAAGAUUUGAAGAAAGUGUACAUGACUCCCUUGCCGGAUUCGCCUUACGUGCGGCCGUUCCGGUUCAACUACACGCAGGGAGGCAAGGAGAAGAACUGGGAUAUGCUGGAGGUGCACGACAGCGUCGCUAUCAUCGUGUUUAACGUGACCAGGAACGUGUUGGUGUUCGUCAAGCAGUUCAGACCCGCGAUAUACUUCAACAGCGUGCCACCCUGCGACCGGGAAGACGAGGAGAUCGACACGGAGAAGUACCCGGCCUCCUUGGGCAUCACGCUGGAAAUGUGCGCUGGUAUCGUGGAUAAGAAGAAGUCGCUACAGGAAAUAGCUAGAGAAGAAGUGCUAGAGGAGUGUGGGUACGAUGUACCCUUGAAAGAGCUGCAUCAAAUUGCGUCUUACAGGGCGGGCGUCGGUGUUCAGGGUUCCCUACAAACAAUGUUUUAUUGCGAGGUCACCGAUGACAUGAAGAAAGGGAAAGGUGGAGGUGUCGAAGAUGAAAUCAUAGAAGUAGUAGAAAAAUCAAUAACUGAAGUAGAGAAAUGGAUCUCCGGGCCGGGUCCCCUGAACAGCCCGCCGUCCUGCCUGUUCGCGCUCAUGUGGUUCCUACGAAACAAGGCCGACAGAUACAGGAAUCAGAUCAUUUGAGAGAUACUGCGGAGAGUGCAAAGUCGUUGUAAACGAUCCAUUUUUUGCAACAUCAUCGGACGACUGAAGAUUCGGUCAGAAUUCGGUUGAAAUUCGAGUCGGAUUCAUUUGUAUUGUUUGAAGAAAGUGUUAGUAGGUACAGACUUGCUUGUAAAUAAUUUUGAUAUUUAUGUAUAUUCGGGAUCUGUGUUUUUGCUAUUAGGUGCAUUAUAUUUAUGAUGUGAGUUUAUUGGUACAUAAUAACUGUGAUUGUAUUGCCUUUCUGUGAUUAAAUCUUGGAAUGAAAAUG
rnacentral:misc_RNA from 1 species